rnacentral:rRNA from 1 species
UGGGGAAUUUUCCGCAAUGGGCGAAAGCCUGACGGAGCAAUACCGCGUGAGGGAGGAAGGCUUUUGGGUUGUAAACCUCUUUUCUUAGGGAAGAAGAACUGACGGUACCUAAGGAAUCAGCAUCGGCUAACUCCGUGCCAGCAGCCGCGGUAAUACGGAGGAUGCAAGCGUUAUCCGGAAUUAUUGGGCGUAAAGGGCACGCAGGCGGCUUGCCAAGUCCGAUGUGAAAGCUCCCGGCUUAACUGGGAGAGGUCGUUGGAUACUGGUAGGCUUGAGGCAGUGAGAGGGAUACAGAAUUCCUGGUGUAGUGGUGGAAUGCGUAGAUAUCAGGAGGAAUACCAGUGGCGAAAGCGGUAUCCUGGCACUGUACUGACGCUCAUGUGCGAAAGCGUGGGGAGCGAACGGGAUUAGAUACCCCCGUAGUCC